GAAAAAAAUAUGUAAAAAGUAAAAGGAAAAAAGAUCUUUGACAUUUUUAUAUAAUUUGUUGAAUAUUUGAUUAUUUUACUAACUUUUUAAUUCUAAAUUAAAAAGUAAUAUUCUCCGACGAAGCUAAGUGCAAAGAAAUUUGAGGUCCAACCAAUCUCUUAUCUAUAGUUGUUCGUGCCUCUUUCAAAAUUGGGGGAAAAAACAAAACAUAAGCCUUAGAGCAAAACAAAAGCUAGCCACACAUAAGAGUCACUCAAAGAUUAAUUGAACUUCAAAGAAUGAGAAAUUGGAGGCCUAAAACUCAACAUUAUUGAUCUUCUCUCGUCUUUCAUCCAUCAUAAAUAGUGAAGAUCCAAGGCAACAAAGCUCUGCUCCUCCACCAUCCUCUACGACCUCUUCCUCAACACCUUCUCCUCCGACUCCUCCCUCCGAUCUACCACCGUCGCCGACCACCACCACCACUAUCAAAGCCUGUCCAUCUACCCAUCAUCGUUCCCGGGAAUCAGAUUCACCUCGGUCGGUGGAUUUUCCGGGUUUCGCAUUCCAGCACGAAUUCAGGGUGAAGAUGAGGAGCACAACGACAUUUCCGACAAGCCGUCCUCUACUUCCUCUGAUUCGUACCACUGAUUUGAGCUCCAAAACCAAAUCAAUCUCUCUCUAUCAGUACUCAAUCAUCAACCCAUUGGAGUAACCAAGAAUCAGUUGUUAUCACUAUUUCAGAGAGAGAGAGAGAGAGAGAGAGAGAGAGAGAGAGUUUGGUCAGUUUAAUCCAAUGGCUACUCGUUACCGUAGGAAGAAGAAAUCUGAGUGUGUUUUCAGGUUUUUCAAUCCCGGCGUGCUUUCUAUUUUGAUUUUUUUAAAAGUAUACACACAAACUGGUUCUUAUAUACACAUCCAACUUAGAGAAAAUUCAAAUUUCUUCGGGUUCAACCGCGAGAAAAUUCAGUCCAACAACAUAGAGAUAAUUCAGACCAACCAAACCAGAGAAUUUUGUAACUUGUUGCUGAGAGCAGGCUAUCAAUGUUUGAGGACAUAGGAAACCUUAGCAGGGAUUUGAUAAUGGAAAGUAUGUAUAUAAUAUUGUAUUGUUGCCUUUCUUCCUCACCUUUGAGAAGUAAGGAAGUGAGUUGAGGUAGAAGAAUUCUCAUGUUCAAAAAAAAAAAAAAGGGGGCAGAGAAAUUUACAGUUGGAAGUUUAGGGAAGUCCAAAGAAAUAAAGAAUUUCUCUGAACUAAUUUUCUCUGACUUGAAUUUUCUAUUUGAUGUCAUUUCUACUAUAAAAUCAUAAUAUCAAGGACCUUAAAAAAAUACCCCAUUUUUAAAUAGUUAACCUUAAAUUUAUAGUAUUACUGCCUUCGUUAUUUUUCAUGGAACCAAAAAUAGGGUUAAUGAGGGAUUUAGAAAUGCACAGCAACAAUUAUUGUACGGGAUUCAUUUUGGGACUCAUUUAAAUGAUCUGAAUCAUUCACAUUUUGCUAUACAUCGAUUAAAACAUAUCUAAACAAAAUUAAAUUGAUCGGAUAUU